rnacentral:rRNA from 1 species
GGGUUCUGGGGGUUAGUGGCGAACGGGUGAGUAACACGUGAGUAACCUGCCCUUCACUUCUGGAUAACCGCUUGAAAGGGUGGCUAAUACGGGAUGUUUCUGGGUCUGUCGCAUGGCGGGUUCGGGAAAGAUGGCACUGUUUGGUGUUUUUGGUGGGGGAUGGGCUCGCGGCCUAUCAGCUUGUUGGUGGGGUGAUGGCCUGCCAAGGCUUUGACGGGUAGCCGGCCUGAGAGGGUGGGCGGUCACACUGGGACUGAGAUACGGCCCAGACUCCUACGGGAGGCAGCAGUGGGGAAUAUUGCACAAUGGGCGGAAGCCUGAUGCAGCGACGUCGCGUGAGGGAUGGAGGCCUUCGGGUUGUGAACCUCUUUCGCCAGUGAGGAAGGCCUUGCCCGUGUGGUGGGGUUGACGGUAGCUGGGUUAAUUGAAGCGCCGGCUAACUACGUGCCAGCAGCCGCGGUAAUACGUAGGGCGCGAGCGUUGUCCGGAAUUAUUGGGCGUAAAGGGCUUGUAGGCGGUUGGUCGCGUCUGCCGUGAAAUCCUCUGGCUCAGCUGGGGGCGUGCGGUGGGUACGGGCUGGCUUGAGUGCGGUAGGGGAGGCUGGAACUCCUGGUGUAGCGGUGGAAUGCGCAGAUAUCAGGAGGAACACCGGUGGCGAAGGCGGGUCUCUGGGCCGUUACUGACGCUGAGGAGCGAAAGCGUGGGGAGCGAACAGGAUUAGAUACCCUGGUAGUCCACGCUGUAAACGUUGGGCACUAGGUGUGGGGGGUCUUUCCGGGUCCUCCGCGCCGUAGCUAACGCAUUAAGUGCCCCGCCUGGGGAGUACGGCCGCAAGGCUAAAACUCAAAGGAAUUGACGGGGGCCCGCACAAGCGGCGGAGCAUGCGGAUUAAUUCGAUGCAACGCGAAGAACCUUACCAAGGCUUGACAUGUGCCGGUUGUCCUUCGGAGACGGAGGGUCCUCCCUUUGCGGGGGUCGGUUCACAGGUGGUGCAUGGUUGUCGUCAGCUCGUGUCGUGAGAUGUUGGGUUAAGUCCCGCAACGAGCGCAACCCUUGUCCCGUGUUGCCAGCACGUCGUGGUGGGGACUCGCGGGAGACUGCCGGGG